rnacentral:rRNA from 1 species
CACGUAGGGGGCGAGCGUUGUCCGGAUUUAUUGGGCGUAAAGCGCGCGUAGGCGGACCUGCAAGUCGGGGGUGAAAGCCCGAGGCUCAACCUCGGAACUGCCUUCGAUACUGCGGGUCUCGAGUCCGGGAGAGGUGAGUGGAAUUCCUAGUGUAGAGGUGAAAUUCGUAGAUAUUAGGAAGAACACCAGUGGCGAAGGCGGCUCACUGGCCCGGUACUGACGCUGAGGCGCGAAAGCGUGGGGAGCAAACAGG